rnacentral:rRNA from 1 species
UACGUAGGGGGCAAGCGUUGUCCGGAAUUAUUGGGCGUAAAGAGCGCGUAGGCGGUCCGAUAAGUCGGCUGUGAAAGUCAGGGGCUCAACCCUUGAAAGCCGGCCGAUACUGUCGGACUAGAGUCCGGAAGAGGCAAGUGGAAUUCCCGGUGGUAGCGGUGAAAUGCGCAGAUAUCGGGAGGAACACCAAUGGCGAAGGCAGCUUGCUGGGACGGUACUGACGCUGAGGCACGGAAAGCGUGGGUAGCAACAGG